rnacentral:tRNA from 1 species
AAGGCCUUAGCUUAAAAUAAAGUGUCUGAGUUGCAGUUAGAAGAUGUUGGAUGAAGUCUUGCAGGUCUUA